AUAAGAUCACUUCUCACUAGUCAUACUACCCUGUUUCAAAUUCUGAAACUCAGACUGACUGCACGGGCAUUCUCAUAGAUUUCUCACUCUGUAACGUAAAUAUGAGCCAGUUUCCUUAAAUCAUCCUCCACGAAGCUAUCUCUCCAAUAGGCAGGUAAUCUUUCGCCUUAGUGGAGUUUUCUAAUUUUAACUAACUCUCAAUUUAGCUGAAGAAUUCUAUGAGUAGUAAGUUCCAAAGUAUUUCAUCAAGUGCAAAGUUUUUGUUGAAAAGUCAAUUUGACUAACGCCGUUAUUGCACCUUUUUGAGGUUUUCUAGUGUUUUCGAUGUUCUUAUGAUUAAAUUCACUCGUUCGCUAUUUUCAGUCCCAAACAGUAUAAGCUUUCAAUACAUUGCUUUAUGUUAAUAUUUAAUUUUUGUUUGAAAUUUUAAAAUGUAUCGGAUAAUGAAUUCCUUUGUUUUGAUCUUUGGCAGAUAUACUAUUACCUGGAUGAAGAUAAUGCUUGGGCUUUAAACAUUAAAGAGUUGAAACGUGCCAUUGCGGAAUCAAGAAACGUGUGUCAGCCUAGAGUUUUAGUUGUCAUCAAUCCAGGAAAUCCAACUGGCUCUGUUCUCACCAAAGAAAAUAUAGAAGAAAUUAUCAGAUUUGCAUAUGAAGAAAGAUUAUUUCUUAUGGCUGAUGAGGUUUAUCAAGACAAUAUAUAUGCCGAUCGCAUGAAGUUUCACUCAUUCAAAAAAAUAUUAAUGGAAUUAGGAGAAUCUUACAAAAGUAUGGAAUUAGCUUCUUUUAUGUCUGCAUCGAAAGGAUAUAUGGGCGAGUGUGGAUUACGUGGCGGUUACUGCGAACUAAUAAAUGUAGAUCCUGAAGUGAAAAAAAUGUUCUUGAAAUGUAUUUCAGCGCGUGUGUGCAGCAGUGUCUUAGGACAAGCUGCAAUGGAUUGUGUUGUCAACCCUCCUCGGGAAAAUGAACCCUCAUAUGAUCUCUUUAUGAAGGAGAAGAAUGCAGUAUUGCAAUCUUUUAAAGAAAAAGCAAUCUUAGUGGCUAAAACUUUUAGAAGUAUGAAAGGAAUGAAAUGUAAUGAAGUUGCUGGAGCCAUGUAUGCCUUCCCUCGUCUAAUUCUUCCACAGAAAGCAAUUGAAAAGGCUAGAAGUAUGGGUCAAACUCCUGACUUCUUCUACGCAAUGCAGCUUCUUGAAAAUGCAGGUAUUUUCGUCAUACCAGGAAGUGCUUUUGGACAAGUACCUGGAACAUAUCAUUUCAGGACAACCAUCCUUCCUCAAAUUGACAAAUUGAAAAUCAUGCUAAAACUAUUGAGAGAACAUCAUGAAAACUUUUUAGCGGAAUACGAUUAGCUGAUGUCGCCACAGGUGUUUGGAAACAAGGAUUAAUAACGAAAUGGUGUUGAUAAAACGAGAGACGAAAUUUACUGUGAGCUGUCAAAAACCCAAAUUGCCUACCAAUAGUGUUACGGCACUCAGAUAUCGAACCCUCAUCUUUAGAAGCAAAGAUUAUUUGCAACUGCGAAAAGAAUGACAAUCAUUUUAUACGGAAAUCAAUACAUGGAAUAAAGGCGGAAAUGAACGCAGUGGCAUCUGAGAAGAAAAUAGUAAUGAAACGUGAAAUAGCUAAGCUAUUAGAAUUUCGAAAGCAUUGAAAAAACUGGAUUGCAUUAAUAUUCUUAACUAAAGAAGGAAAACUUUUUUCUGAAUAUUUGUUUCAAGGAAAUCCAUUUUACUAUCUGAAAAAUAGAACCAUCAUCAAAUUUGUAAUUAAAUUCUUAACUAAAAUUAUGUAUUAAUGAUAUUUUUAUUUCUCUUUUUCGUGUUCGUAAAGAUGAAAUUUUAAAGCUCUGAUAAUUCUACCAACAUGUGUCAAACUACACUGGCCUACGAAUUCCGUAGGAAUUAAAAUCAGAAACAGCU
rnacentral:misc_RNA from 1 species